rnacentral:pre_miRNA from 1 species
CGGGGGAGACCGGAUCCUGGGCUGUGUCCCGGCGCCCUGUGCUCCGGAGCCUGCGCUGUUGGAUUCGCGCUCCCGCCCCGCAGCCCCCU